UGGGGAAUCUUGCGCAAUGGGGGAAACCCUGACGCAGCGACGCCGCGUGCGGGAUGAAGGCCUUCGGGUUGUAAACCGCUUUCAGCAGGGACGAGGCCUUAUGGUGACGGUACCUGCAGAAGAAGCUCCGGCUAAAUACGUGCCAGCAGCCGCGGUAAUACGUAUGGAGCAAGCGUUAUCCGGAUUCAUUGGGCGUAAAGCGCUCGUAGGCGGUCUGUUAGGUCGGCAAGUUAAAUCCGGGGGCUCAACCCCCGUCCGCUUCCGAUACCGGCAGACUUGAGUUUGGUAGGGGAAGGUGGAAUUCCUAGUGUAGCGGUGGAAUGCGCAGAUAUUAGGAAGAACACCAAUGGCGAAGGCAGGUCUCUGGGCUGUUACUGACGCUGAGAAGCGAAAGCGUGGGGAGCGAACAGG
rnacentral:rRNA from 1 species